rnacentral:rRNA from 1 species
ACGAACGCUGGCGGCGUGCUUAACCCAUGCAAGUCGAACGGAAAGGCCCUGCUUUUGUGGGGUGCUCGAGUGGCGAACGGGUGAGUAACACGUGAGUAACCUGCCCUUGACCUUGGGAUAACUUCAGGAAACUGGGGCUAAUACCGGAUAGGAGCUCCUGCUGCAUGGUGGGGGUUGGAAAGUUUCGGCGGUUGGGGAUGGACUCGCGGCUUAUCAGCUUGUUGGUGGGGUAGUGGCUUACCAAGGCUUUGACGGGUAGCCGGCCUGAGAGGGUGACCGGCCACAUUGGGACUGAGAUACGGCCCAGACUCCUACGGGAGGCAGCAGUGGGGAAUAUUGCACAAUGGGCGGAAGCCUGAUGCAGCAACGCCGCGUGCGGGAUGACGGCCUUCGGGUUGUAAACCGCUUUCGCCUGUGACGAAGCGUGAGUGACGGUAAUGGGUAAAGAAGCACCGGCUAACUACGUG